GGUUAAGCGACUAAGCGUACACGGUGGAUGCCCUGGCAGUCAGAGGCGAUGAAGGACGUGCUAAUCUGCGAUAAGCGUCGGUAAGGUGAUAUGAACCGUUAUAACCGGCGAUUUCCGAAUGGGGAAACCCAGUGUGAUUCGUCACACUAUCAUUACGUGAAUACAUAGCGUAAUGAAGCGAACCGGGGGAACUGAAACAUCUAAGUACCCCGAGGAAAAGAAAUCAACCGAGAUUCCCCCAGUAGCGGCGAGCGAACGGGGAGCAGCCCAGAGUCUGAAUCAGCUUGUGUGUUAGUGGAACGGUCUGGAAAGUCCGACGGUACAGGGUGAUAGUCCCGUACACCAAAAUGCACAGGUUGUGAACUCGAAGAGUAGGGCGGGACACGUGGUAUCCUGUCUGAAUAUGGGGGGACCAUCCUCCAAGGCUAAAUACUCCUGACUGACCGAUAGUGAACCAGUACCGUGAGGGAAAGGCGAAAAGAACCCCGGCGAGGGGAGUGAAAAAGAACCUGAAACCGUGUACGUACAAGCAGUGGGAGCCUCUUUAUGGGGUGACUGCGUACCUUUUGUAUAAUGGGUCAGCGACUUAUAUUCUGUAGCAAGGUUAACCGUAUAGGGGAGCCGAAGGGAAACCGAGUCUUAACUGGGCGUUAAGUUGCAGGGUAUAGACCCGAAACCCGGUGAUCUAGCCAUGGGCAGGUUGAAGGUUGGGUAACACUAACUGGAGGACCGAACCGACUAAUGUUGAAAAAUUAGCGGAUGACUUGUGGCUGGGGGUGAAAGGCCAAUCAAACCGGGAGAUAGCUGGUUCUCCCCGAAAGCUAUUUAGGUAGCGCCUCGUGAAUUCAUCUUCGGGGGUAGAGCACUGUUUCGGCUAGGGGGUCAUCCCGACUUACCAACCCGAUGCAAACUGCGAAUACCGAAGAAUGUUAUCACGGGAGACACACGGCGGGUGCUAACGUCCGUCGUGAAGAGGGAAACAACCCAGACCGCCAGCUAAGGUCCCAAAGUCAUGGUUAAGUGGGAAACGAUGUGGGAAGGCACAGACAGCCAGGAUGUUGGCUUAGAAGCAGCCAUCAUUUAAAGAAAGCGUAAUAGCUCACUGGUCGAGUCGGCCUGCGCGGAAGAUGUAACGGGGCUAAACCAUGCACCGAAGCUGCGGCAGCGACACUAUGUGUUGUUGGGUAGGGGAGCGUUCUGUAAGCCGUUGAAGGUGGCCUGUGAGGGUUGCUGGAGGUAUCAGAAGUGCGAAUGCUGACAUAAGUAACGAUAAUGCGGGUGAAAAACCCGCACGCCGGAAGACCAAGGGUUCCUGUCCAACGUUAAUCGGGGCAGGGUGAGUCGACCCCUAAGGCGAGGCCGAAAGGCGUAGUCGAUGGGAAACAGGUUAAUAUUCCUGUACUUGGUGUUACUGCGAAGGGGGGACGGAGAAGGCUAUGUUAGCCGGGCGACGGUUGUCCCGGUUUAAGCAUGUAGGCGGAGGUUCCAGGUAAAUCCGGUACCUUUUAACGCUGAGGUGUGAUGACGAGGCACUACGGUGCUGAAGUAACAAAUGCCCUGCUUCCAGGAAAAGCCUCUAAGCAUCAGGUAACACGAAAUCGUACCCCAAACCGACACAGGUGGUCAGGUAGAGAAUACCAAGGCGCUUGAGAGAACUCGGGUGAAGGAACUAGGCAAAAUGGUGCCGUAACUUCGGGAGAAGGCACGCUGAUAUGUAGGUGAAGCGGUUUACCCGUGGAGCUGAAAUCAGUCGAAGAUACCAGCUGGCUGCAACUGUUUAUUAAAAACACAGCACUGUGCAAACACGAAAGUGGACGUAUACGGUGUGACGCCUGCCCGGUGCCGGAAGGUUAAUUGAUGGGGUUAUCCGUAAGGAGAAGCUCUUGAUCGAAGCCCCGGUAAACGGCGGCCGUAACUAUAACGGUCCUAAGGUAGCGAAAUUCCUUGUCGGGUAAGUUCCGACCUGCACGAAUGGCGUAAUGAUGGCCAGGCUGUCUCCACCCGAGACUCAGUGAAAUUGAACUCGCUGUGAAGAUGCAGUGUACCCGCGGCAAGACGGAAAGACCCCGUGAACCUUUACUAUAGCUUGACACUGAACACUGGUCCUUGAUGUGUAGGAUAGGUGGGAGGCUUUGAAGUGUGGACGCCAGUCUGCAUGGAGCCAUCCUUGAAAUACCACCCUUUAAUGGCUGGUGUUCUAACGUGGACCCGUAAUCCGGGUUGCGGACAGUGUCUGGUGGGUAGUUUGACUGGGGCGGUCUCCUCCUAAAGAGUAACGGAGGAGCACGAAGGUUAGCUAAUCCUGGUCGGACAUCAGGAGGUUAGUGCAAAGGCAUAAGCUAGCUUGACUGCGAGAGUGACGGCUCGAGCAGGUGCGAAAGCAGGUCUUAGUGAUCCGGUGGUUCUGAAUGGAAGGGCCAUCGCUCAACGGAUAAAAGGUACUCCGGGGAUAACAGGCUGAUACCGCCCAAGAGUUCAUAUCGACGGCGGUGUUUGGCACCUCGAUGUCGGCUCAUCACAUCCUGGGGCUGAAGUAGGUCCCAAGGGUAUGGCUGUUCGCCAUUUAAAGUGGUACGCGAGCUGGGUUUAGAACGUCGUGAGACAGUUCGGUCCCUAUCUGCCGUGGGCGCUGGAGAAUUGAGGGGGGCUGCUCCUAGUACGAGAGGACCGGAGUGGACGCAUCACUGGUGUUCGGGUUGUCAUGCCAAUGGCAUUGCCCGGUAGCUAAAUGCGGAAGAGAUAAGUGCUGAAAGCAUCUAAGCACGAAACUUGCCCCGAGAUGAGUUCUCCCUGAGACUUUAAGUCUCCUGAAGGAACGUUGAAGACGACGACGUUGAUAGGUCGGGUGUGUAAGUGUAGCGAUACAUUGAGCUAACCGAUACUAAUGAACCGUGAGGCUUAACCUU
rnacentral:rRNA from 1 species